GCCGGCCUGUUGGUUCUUCCUCCGGUUGUACUUCGCCAUGAUCAAGCUCUAAUUAAGCUUGCUCAUGGGAUGACUCUGGUAAUCUACUUCUAUUUCAUUAUGCAAUUACUAUUCAUGUAUGUUCUGGUUCACAACUCUUUUGAGUACUUUUAAUCUAUAGGACCCUAUAGGUUAGAGUUGUAGUAUAGGUGUAAGCGUGGUGCUUAGACCUAGAUUACUUGUGGAUAUCCCCUGUCUAGCUGGAUCGUGUGGUAGGCCGCAUAGGUGACAGUUACGUUGGUCCCCUGUAGUCCACCUCCUGUUAGUAGGAUGGGUAGGGUUUAUCGGCCUAUGGAUAAGCAUCCUUUGUGGUGUAUUCUUAUCACGUGGUUCGUCCCAGACAUAGACAUACCCCUUUGAAGUAGAGAAACCAUAGUUAUCCUCUCUAUUCUCCUACCAUCGCCCAUAUACUCGAUUGCUCUACUCUCUAUUCCCAUAUUAUCACCCAUUGUUAUCUUACCUUUAAUAUUGUUCUUAUUCAAUUCUACCAUCUUUCCUAUUUACACUUACCUAUCUAUCUAGGUUAAGUUAGAGCGUAGUUGGUUCCCCCAUUUCCCUUUGGAUACGAUAAACCCUUUAACCGGGUAAAAGCUACAACAGUAUCCGUGCGCUUGCGGAUUUAUCUAUGUGCAUAUAAAUACCAUAGUACACUCUAGUGCCAUGCUGGGGAUGACAACCUAGUAUUCAAGUGGUGUUAGCAAGUGUCAACAUACAUCAUCAACAAUGGGAAUUCAAAUGGCAACAAUGGGCAAGCCCAAGAGGGGUCGACCGACCCCACCUUGGAGCCAUGGACCCACCAUUCAGCAUCCACUCAACGUCUACCUACUUUCUGACUGGUUUGCCACUCUUACUCCCCCUCUGUUCUUUCAUUUUUAUUACUUUUGUCUCUUGUUUGCUUUAUUAGAUAAAAUAAAACAAAAAUCAAAACAAGAAGACUUGGAUAUAUGAUUUAUGACAUUAAAAGUGUGAUAUGAUUCAUGACAUUAAAAGGGUAAAAGUGUCACAAAGUCUAAUUCUUGCAUAUGCUUAUACUUGUGGGUCACAUAUCUUGAUAGGAGUAUCAUUAUCAUAUUGACUUGGUUGUUGACAAUUGUGAUAUAGUUCUUAGCUCAUGAUUCAUACCCUUUCUAUUCAAAGUGCUUAGAGAUUUUUUUUAAAAAAUAUCAUAAAACCAUAGUGUCACUUACUCCUCAAUAGUAAGAGAAUUCCUACCACAGCCAUAUAUGUUCAUACCUUGUUCAAACCCUUCUAUAUAUGCUACUUGUACUUGGGUUGAGUUCAGUCCAACCUUGUGACCCUAGUUGAGAAUUAUGUCAUAGUCCCAAGAUCAAGAUCACACACACACACCAUAUAUAUAUGCUGCUUCUACAUUGGAAGUACGCAAAAACAUGCCAUCCAUUUCCACCAUAUAGAUGCUCCAUGUUUUAAGGUUUAGAAUAUCUCUCUCUAAGUAUUGGUUAUCGGAUGAGAGGCUAUGCUUAAAAAAAAGUGGGCACAUGAAGGUCCAUUGCUUUUGAAAAAAAAGAGAAAAAAAAAGAAAAAAAAGCUAGCCAUGUCUCAAAUAAAAUAGAGAAAGAGAGAGAGAUUUUAUCAAAUAUAGGAGCAUUCUAUUCUAAUCAUUUUUCACACACUUAUACAUCUUGAUCUAGGAUUAUGACAUUCUUCUCCUUGGAUCCUUGUUUCGACAUUACAAUAGAUACAAUGCAAGUAUGCUAUCUUGUUUCUCCCUACCUGAGCCCCACAUAAGCCUAAUAGAUGUAGGAUGAAACAAAAGAAAGCAAUCUUAUGUUAUGCCUUGGUGAGGAAUCCUAUACUUACUGACUUGAGAGUACUAUUAGAGGAGUAAGGAUGAACUAUGUGCUUUCUUUUAAAACAUUUAUGAAAAACUCUAAUUACUAAGGAUAUGAAAAUGGGAAGAUGACUUUGCUUUGAGAACUGUUCCAUUUUUCAACAUCCUAAGGAUAUAUGUUAGACAGUGCCACAUAACCCACUUGUAUAAGAUAUGUCUUGAGUAGUCUUUGUGUUUGCUUAUAUCUAAAAAGUGUCAUAAUCAUAGGUUAUCUUCCUCUAACCUUUGCUCGAGGACGAGCAAAGACAUAAGUGUGGGGGUUCUUGUUGACGGUAGAUAAGCCCUAUUUUUACCCCAUCAAAACUAUCAACAAUACAUUCUUUCUGGCAGAAAAUCACCAAACACAUAGUGACUUAGGUACAAAUAACUUGGUUCCACAUGUACAUGUCAUCAUUUGGAUGCAGGUGUGCAAUCGACUACUUUUCAGGGUUAAGAAGCUCUAUAUGAAGGUUGGACUACCACCCUAGAAUGGCCAAUUGGAAAACCAACUUCACAUUCAUCAAUCUCAGAGCUUCUAGAGACAGUGUGCAAAAGAUGGGCAUAUUAGUGGGGUCGGCUGACCCCACCUUUGUGGGCCUAGCACCACCACAGUGCUCCAAAUUUCACCUGGAAGUCACCUGCAGAAGAUGAACCUUUGAUUCUACCAAAGUGGGGUUGACCGACCCAACUAUGGGGCCAUCCAGCCAUCUGGUUUACACCAACCGACAUGGGAUUCCUUCUAGAAGACAACACCGGUCCCACCUGUCAUUAGGCAGGUCGGCUGACCUACAUGUGGGCCCCACCUUAAGUCGGUUCACUCCCACCGACAUCCCCAUGAUGAACAUGUGAUGGAAAUUCCAAGGUCGCUUUGAUCCAACGAUGGAGAAGAGGGAGCACGCGGAUCACUGACGUGGCGCUAGAGUAGUCCCUACUCCGUCUCCCCCUAUAAAUACCCCCUUAGAGAGCCUAGUUAAUCAUGAUGUAUCUUAGGAAGAGCUACUCUUAGCUAAGUGUGAGAAUGGAGGGAAGAGAGUGAGGAGUUCCUCGAGGAGGAGUCUCGGCUUGUCGGGAGUCUUCUUCUAGGAGCGCCUCAGUGGAUGCUUGUCUUCUAGUAAGUCUUCCUUCUAGUUGCCUUUCAUCUGAGUACUUCUGGUAUUUCCUUUCUGUCUUAGUUAUUUUAAGUAUACAACCGGCCUAUCUGGCACAAUGCUUUGCCUUGUGUGAAGUGCUCGAAACCUUAGCUGGGUCUAGAGUAGUAGAAUUAGUGUAGACGUGGUGUCUAGACUAAGUCUGCCCUUGUGGACUUCUUGUCGCACCUGAAGAACGCCAGCAGCGAAGCGUGACAGGCCUCUGUUGGACAUUAGGAGUUCUCUUCAGUGUGUUAUUAGGCAAGUUGCAAAUAACAGUUGGCCUGCAUGGUAGCUGCCUAGGGAAGUGUUUCGCCACACCCUUUUCCCCUAUCAGCCACAGUAGGAAGGGAAUUAACUCUCAAGUAUUCUUAGGAUAGCUUAGCCAGAAGCCAAAUACUAGAAAUACCUCUCCACCCAAUCAUAUGCCCUUUGAUCAUCAUCCGAUGACUCAAUUGGUCUAGUUAGUCCACUUCUCGUUCCCCGUGGAAAAUACGAUACCUGGAAUACUCCUGGUGAAGUGCUACAUUGACCAUCGUCUGCUUGCGGUAAAACCGUUUGCCACUUCUCGUGUCACACAAGCAUUUCUAGUGCUAUGCCAAGGACUGACAAUCCUAGGUAGUGCUGCUAAGAAGAGUCAACAGGGCCCAUUUUGCAAGGUUGCCUCCUUGAGUCUUCUAGAGUACUCCUGAGUUACAGAUG
rnacentral:lncRNA from 1 species